UAGGGAAUCUUCCGCAAUGGACGCAAGUCUGACGGAGCAACGCCGCGUGAGUGAAGAAGGAUUUCGGUUCGUAAAACUCUGUUGUUAGAGAAGAACAGCGCAUAGAGUAACUGUUAUGCGUGUGACGGUAUCUAACCAGAAAGCCACGGCUAACUACGUGCCAGCAGCCGCGGUAAUACGUAGGUGGCAAGCGUUGUCCGGAUUUAUUGGGCGUAAAGCGAGCGCAGGCGGUCAAUUAAGUCUGAUGUGAAAGCCCCCGGCUCAACCGGGGAGGUGAAUUGGAAACUGGUUGACUUGAGUGCAGAAGAGGAGAGUGGAAUUCCAUGUGUAGCGGUGAAAUGCGUAGAUAUAUGGAGGAACACCAGUGGCGAAGGCGACUCUCUGGUCUGUAACUGACGCUGAGGCUCGAAAGCGUGGGUAGCAAACAGG
rnacentral:rRNA from 1 species